UCCUACGGGAGGCAGCAGGCGCGCAAAUUACCCAAUCCUGACACAGGGAGGUAGUGACAAAAAAUAACAAUACCUGGCCUCAAUAGGUCGGGUAAUUGGAAUGAGUACAAUUUAGAUCCCUUAACGAGGAUCAAUUGGAGGGCAAGUCUGGUGCCAGCAGCCGCGGUAAU
rnacentral:rRNA from 1 species